UACAGAGGUCUCAAGCGUUGUUCGGAAUCACUGGGCUUAAAGGGCGCGUAGGCGGGCAUUCAAGUCUGUGGUGAAAUCCUCCAGCUCAACUGGAGAACUGCCAUGGAUACUGGGUGUCUCGAGGGUGGUAGGGGUAUGCGGAACUAUCGGUGGAGCGGUGAAAUGCGUUGAUAUCGAUAGGAACUCCGGUGGCGAAGGCGGCAUACUGGACCACUUCUGACGCUGAGGCGCGAAAGCCAGGGGAGCGAACGGG
rnacentral:rRNA from 1 species